rnacentral:lncRNA from 1 species
UCGAAGUGCUAUUUUUCUCCUCUCUCAAUUUCUGUCAAAAUAAAUAUCCCUUGCUAAGUUAAUGGGAGGGUAGUUAUGGGAUUUUAUAAAUGUUAAGCUAUUAGAUGAUCCUUAUGUAAUAAUAUUUUCUAAUAAAGAUAGAUGGCUGAGCCAUUUUGUAGUAAUUUUAAAGUUUUAGGAUCUAAUUGACAUGUUUCAAACUUUAAGAUCCAAGUAUAAAUGGCCCACACCUA